AGCACUGUGGUAGAAACAUGAUCACAUGUAAAUGGCACUUCUGGAGAAAAAAUAUCUUUUUAUUUUUCAUAGGUGAAUAUACAUUUUUAAAAGCACUUUCUGGAUCAUCCCUCCAGCCACUACUGGAUUUUUUUUUUUUUUUUUUACCCCCUGAUCUGGCCUCUUGUGGCGUGACUAUGAUGAUGAUGAAGAAAUGUUACAGAAGCCUGGCAAUGUGAUCUUUAUGUAAUGAGUCAGGAUUCGCUAAGGGAAAGGAGCAGGGCUGAAGAUCAACCUUCCCCAGGAAAGGGAAUGACAAGCAGGAGAUCUGCAGCCUGGGCUCUCACUGGUAUCUGCACAGACUCUCAGGGAUGGAUCACAUAGCCGACAUAUUCCAGGUCUAACUGGUACUGUGCUCAGAUCGACUGGUCCUUCCUCCAGGACCAGCCACCAAUGAAUUGCUGAGAAGAUAUCCCUACUCCCUCCCCUUCCUGGGACUCCACCUCUUUUGUGUUCGGAGGAGUCACUUGCCUUUCUUUUCCUCUGUCCUGACCUGUGACAUAUCUCACGCUCUAUCUUCCAUUGGAGUUGCACAGUGUGCAAAGGUCACCAGUCACAAAACUAAAGAGAGUCUUCUUCAGGAGCGUGUUGAGCCACGAAUUGCCAAGGUCUACUUCACUCUGCAUAGCUGUUUACCGCAGGGAAAAUGAGGGACUUUUGGGGGCAGAUGUGUUUCCAUUACACUACCAUAAUGCCCCUAAAAAUCCUUAUUGCUCUUGCAGUGAUCGUCUGAGCUUCUGGACCCAUCUGAACAUCAGGAUGUAGCUGGGAUGUUUUUGGAAAGCCACUUUAGACCACCACAAUCACUUCCGAGCUUUAUUUUUGGCCACACUUAUAUAUAGAAGAGUAGAUGUGCCAACAUAUACAAAGUAAUUUUGCCAGCGAGGCCAAAGGACACAGGAGAGUGAGCUGUAUUAACUCCUUCAUAACACAUGGGCACUUACUGUAUAUUGCUGAAUGCUUGGCUGCGAUGAGUUGUUAAAAAUUCAAUAAAAGGUUUUAGCUGCAAUUUGCAAUAAAACAUAAUGUAUAUGUAACAGAUCUACCAAGUGUGCAAUUAAAUGAAUAAUAAUGUAAACAUUUAUAAAAGAAAAAGUAUAUAUGUCAUUGUCAACAUGUUAUAGUGUUCAAGACAUACCAAUUGAAUAGUGAAGGCUGUUUUGUGUUUUUCUUGUUGCUACUUAAUUUAGAACAGUGAUUUUCUAGUUUCUAUUUUUGAAGAAAUGAUACACAUGCAUUAUUACCUUACUACUAUAUUGCUGCUUACAUUUUAAAUGUGAUAGGUGCUAGUAAUCUCCACAGCUAAUCGCUGAGUCAUUUCUGUCCCUCUGUCUACACUAACUGUCGGGCCCUGCGACAAUGUCAGGUGUUUUGAAGCCAUUUGCAGGUCUGCUUAUCAUUAUUAUUAUUAUUAUCCUUUAUUCAUAUGGUGCCACAAGGGAACUGCAGUGCCCGUUACACAGUACAUAAACAAGAAAACAGCACUUACAGUUUAAGACAAUAUAGGACAAGUUCGGAAUACCAGAGGUUAGGUGCCAUCAAAGGAAGUAUGGAGUAUAAGACAGUGUAAUACCCCUUUCACACCGCCUGAAGCAGUCACACCCAGGAGCCUGACACGGGAGUUCCCAGGGUGCGACCUGCCUCAGGCACCUUUCACACCGCAGUCAACAGCCCGGCAUAUUUGCAGGUUGGUGAUGUCAGCGGUAACGUGUCGGGGGCGGCGUUUGGAGAUCACAUGAUCUCCAAGUGCCGCCCGUACAUAGAGAGUGAACGGGAAACAGGUCGCAUUGACCCGGCUUCCGUUCACACUGCACAGUGAGCCGGGUUGAACAUGUGUUCAACCCUGCUCACGACCUGGGUUGAAAUACCAGGUCACUUAACCUGGUAUUUCACCCCUGGCACCUUUCACACUGCACAUGAACACGGGUUAUGUGCGUUCAUGUGUCAAUAACCCGUGUUCAGGGGUGCUGUGUGGAAGGGGUAUAAGUAACAGAAGGAAAGGCACAUAAUGUUUGUAGGUCAGGAAGAUCAUUACUAUGUUUGUUAAUACAUAUCAUGAGGUAGUAGUAUGAACACAAGGUGGAUUAGUUUACCAGAAUAAAAAUAUAUAGUUUAUUUGAUUAUAACAGUGGUUGCACUAUUCACCCAAUCUUUAGUAGUAAAAGUAUUAUUCUGUGAAACGCAUUAUGCAGAAAAAAUAUGUUUUCUUAAAUUAAUGUUUAUGUUUUCUAUUUCUUAUUAAGCAUGAAUUAAAAUGAAAACAAUAAAAAAUAAA